UCCUUUGUUGCCAGCGGUCCGGCCGGGAACUCAAAGGAGACUGCCAGUGAUAAACUGGAGGAAGGUGGGGAUGACGUCAAGUCAUCAUGGCCCUUACGACCAGGGCUACACACGUGCUACAAUGGCGCAUACAAAGAGAAGCGACCUCGCGAGAGCAAGCGGACCUCAUAAAGUGCGUCGUAGUCCGGAUUGGAGUCUGCAACUCGACUCCAUGAAGUCGGAAUCGCUAGUAAUCGUGGAUCAGAAUGCCACGGUGAAUACGUUCCCGGGCCUUGUACACACCGCCCGUCACACCAUGGGAGUGGGUUGCAAAAGAAGUAGGUAGCUUAACCUUCGGGA
rnacentral:rRNA from 1 species